UGGGGGCACCUGAUCCAGCCAUGCCGCGUGUGUGAAGAAGGCCCUCGGGUUGUAAAGCACUUUCAGCGAGGAAGAACGCCUAGCGGUUAAUACCCGCUAGGAAAGACAUCACUCGCAGAAGAAGCACCGGCUAACUCCGUGCCAGCAGCCGCGGUAAUACGGAGGGUGCAAGCGUUAAUCGGAAUUACUGGGCGUAAAGCGCGCGUAGGUGGCUUGAUAAGCCGGUUGUGAAAGCCCCGGGCUCAACCUGGGAACGGCAUCCGGAACUGUCAAGCUAGAGUGCAGGAGAGGAAGGUAGAAUUCCCGGUGUAGCGGUGAAAUGCGUAGAGAUCGGGAGGAAUACCAGUGGCGAAGGCGGCCUUCUGGACUGACACUGACACUGAGGUGCGAAAGCGUGGGUAGCAAACAGGAUUAGAUACCCUGGUAGUCCACGCCGUAAACGAUGUCGACCAGCCGUUGGGUGCCUAGCGCACUUUGUGGCGAAGUUAACGCGAUAAGUCGACCGCCUGGGGAGUACGGCCGCAAGGUUAAAACUCAAAUGAAUUGACGGGGGCCCGCACAAGCGGUGGAGCAUGUGGUUUAAUUCGAUGCAACGCGAAGAACCUUACCUACUCUUGACAUCCUGCGAAUUUGGUAGAGAUACCUUAGUGCCUUCGGGAACGCAGAGACAGGUGCUGCAUGGCUGUCGUCAGCUCGUGUUGUGAAAUGUUGGGUUAAGUCCCGUAACGAGCGCAACCCUUGUCCUUAUUUUGCCAGCGCGUAAUGGCGGGAACUCUAAGGAGACUGCCGGUGACAAACCGGAGGAAGGUGGGGACGACGACAAGUCAUCAUGUCCCUUA
rnacentral:rRNA from 1 species